CAUCGCCGCGGUAAUACAGAGGGUGCGAGCGUUAAUCGGAUUUACUGGGCGUAAAGCGUGCGUAGGCGGCUUUUUAAGUCGGAUGUGAAAUCCCUGAGCUUAACUUAGGAAUUGCAUUCGAUACUGGGAAGCUAGAGUAUGGGAGAGGAUGGUAGAAUUCCAGGUGUAGCGGUGAAAUGCGUAGAGAUCUGGAGGAAUACCGAUGGCGAAGGCAGCCAUCUGGCCUAAUACUGACGCUGAGGUACGAAAGCAUGGGGAGCAAACAGGAUUAGAUACCCGCGUAGUCCCUGUCUCUUAUACA
rnacentral:rRNA from 1 species